rnacentral:rRNA from 1 species
GAGUUUGAUCAUGGCUCAGAACGUACGCUGGCGGCACGCCUAACACAUGCAAGUCGAACGAAGUAGCAAUACUUAGUGGCAGACGGGUGAGUAACAUGUAGGUAUCUGCCCUUUGGCCUGGAAUAACACGAGGAAACUUGUGCUAAUACCGGAUAAGUCUUUACGGAGAAAGCUUUAUGCACCAUUGGAUGAGCCUGCACUUGAUUAGUUUGUUGGUGGGGUAAUGGCCUACCAAGACUGUGAUCAAUAGCUGAUUUGAGAGGAUGAUCAGCCACAUUGGGACAGAGACACGGCCCAAACUCCUACGGGAGGCAGCAGUGGGGAAUCUUGCACAAUGGAGGAAACUCUGAUGCAGCGAUGCCGCGUGAGUGAAGAAGGCCCUUGGGUUGUAAAGCUCUUUCGUCGGGGAAGAAAAUGACUGUACCCGAAUAAGAAGGUCCGGCUAACUUCGUGCCAGCAGCCGCGGUAAUACGAAGGGACCUAGCGUAGUUCGGAAUUACUGGGCUUAAAGAGUUCGUAGGUGGUUGAAAAAGUUAGUGGUGAAAUCCCAGAGCUUAACUCUGGAACUGCCAUUAAAACUUUUCAGCUAGAGUAUGAUAGAGGAAAGCAGAAUUUCUAGUGUAGAGGUGAAAUUCGUAGAUAUUAGAAAGAAUACCAAUUGCGAAGGCAGCUUUCUGGAUCGUUACUGACACUGAGGAACGAAAGCAUGGGUAGCGAAGAGGAUUAGAUACCCUCGUAGUCCAUGCCGUAAACGAUGUGUGUUAGACGUUGGAAAUUUAUUUUCAGUGUCGCAGGGAAACCGAUAAACACACCGCCUGGGGAGUACGACCGCAAGGUUAAAACUCAAAUGAAUUGACGGGGACCCGCACAAGUAGUGGAGCAUGUGGUUUAAUUCGAAGAUACGCGCAGAACCUUAUCAACACUUGACAUGUUCGUCGCGACUCUAAGAGAUUAGAGUUUUCGGUUCGGCCGGACGAAACACAGGUGCUGCAUGGCUGUCGUCAGCUCGUGUUGUGAGAUGUUGGGUUAAGUCCCGCAACGAGCGCAACCCUCACUUUUAGUUGCCAUCAUUAAGUUGGGCACUCUGAAAGAACUGCCAGUGAUAAGCUGGAGGAAGGUGGGGAUGACGUCAAGUCCUCAUGGCCCUUAUGUGUUGGGCUACACACGUGCUACAAUGGUAUCUACAACAGGAAGCAAGACUGCGAAGUUAAGCAAAUCCCUAAAAGAUACCUCAGUUCGGAUUGCACUCUGCAACUCGAGUGCAUGAAGCUGGAAUUACUAGUAAUCGUGGAUCAGCGUGCCACGGUGAAUGCGUUCCCGGGUCUUGUACACACCGCCCGUCACACCAUGGGAGUUGGUUCUACCUUAAGGCAAGGUUUCAAACCCUUGACCACGGUAUAGUCAGCGACUGGGGUGAAGUCGUAACAAGGUAACC